GUGGGGAAUAUUGGACAAUGGGCGAAAGCCUGAUCCAGCCAUGCCGCGUGUGUGAAGAAGGUCUUCGGAUUGUAAAGCACUUUAAGUUGGGAGGAAGGGCAGUAAGUUAAUACCUUGCUGUUUUGACGUUACCAACAGAAUAAGCACCGGCUAACUUCGUGCCAGCAGCCGCGGUAAUACGAAGGGUGCAAGCGUUAAUCGGAAUUACUGGGCGUAAAGCGCGCGUAGGUGGUUCAGCAAGUUGAAGGUGAAAUCCCCGGGCUCAACCUGGGAACUGCCUCCAAAACUGCAUGACUAGAGUACGGUAGAGGGUAGUGGAAUUUCCGGUGUAGCGGUGAAAUGCGUAGAUAUAGGAAGGAACACCAGUGGCGAAGGCGACUACCUGGACUGAUACUGACACUGAGGUGCGAAAGCGUGGGGAGCAAACAGGAUUAGAUACCCUUGUAGUCC
rnacentral:rRNA from 1 species